GUUUAAAGGGGUUGAGGAUUACGUGCUGCUUUUUCCAGAUCAAAAUGGAAAUGCCUACGGACAGUGGGCCCUGCCUGAUGGACUCGGAUGACCCCGGAGCAGGAGAGUCUGGCGACCAGACCACGGAAAAGGAAGUCAUCUGCCCCUGGGAAAGCCUGGCGGAAGGGAAGGCGGGCUGAGCAGGGCCGUGCGCCGGAAAGAUGGUCCUGGCAGACACCAUCAGACCUGGGGCACACUUGCUCUCAAACCCAAGUGCAUUAGGAUGAUAUUGGAGAACUGGAAAAAAACGAAUGGGGUGGAGUCCAAUGGAAUGGGCGUGUGCUCUGGUUGACUCCCAACGGCCACCUUUUCCCUUUCACUGCCUUUCCCUUGCUUGGCCAGACAGGCA
rnacentral:lncRNA from 1 species